rnacentral:rRNA from 1 species
GAUGAACGCUGGCGGCGUGCUUAAUACAUGCAAGUCGAGCGGACAGACCCUGAUCUUGUGCGGUGCUCGAGUGCCGCACGCGGGAGUAUCACGCGUGUAUCCUCCACUUGUCUUUCUGAUAUCUCCACGAGACACCGGCUCAUAUCGGAUAGGAGCUCUUGCUGCACGGUGGGCAUUGGAUAGUUUCGGCGGUGUGGGCUGGACUCGCGGCUUAUGCGCCAGUUGGUGAGGUAGUUGUUUACCAAGGCUUUGAAGGGUAGCCGGCCUGGGAGGGUGACCGGCGACAUGGCGACUGAGGGACGGCCCAGACGGCUACGGGAGGCAGCGGGGGGGAAUAUUGCACAACAGGCGGAAGCCUGAUGCAGCAGCGCCGCGUGCGUGAUAACCUCCUUCGAGGUGUAAACCGCUGUCGCCGGAGACGAAGCCUUAUUGACGGUAAUUGGUAAAGAAGCACCGGCUAACUACGUG